AUUAGGUGGGGUCCUAACAAAGUUGUGGUAGUUACGUUGAGAUGAGAUGUUAGCCUGCCAGUGUUUUGUCCAACAACACCCAAGGGGCCUGAGCAAAGCUGGGCAGGUGGCCUCCUGCUUGGUGCUGGCUGGAGCAUGCUGCGGGGGUAGAGUUACGGGGCUGUGCGGCGGCUUCUGAAAGAAGGUGUCAAGCACUUCAGAGAGCUGAAGGGUGGCGUUAAAGCUGGAUGAAAUAUCAGAAAUCGUCUUGCAUAAAUACUCUGGCCUCCUUGACUGGGGACACUGCAGAAACUAACCUUUACCUCAUCAGAGGUGUGACAACUGCUGCCACCUCAUAUCAUAAAGGUGUAUUUGGCCAGAAACGUGCUGGGAGACAGGAGGCCCUCUGCAGGGAUGGAACUUGCCCCCCAGGGAUGACAGGUCUAUGCUAUACCACUGGGAAACAAGUUCAUGGCCAAGUAACACCCAGGGAAAAAAAAAAAGCUCAGUUUCCACCGUUCUGUAAAAAGGCAUCUCUUCAAACACUCUCUGCAUCUUGUGGCAAUGCUGGAGCGCUUUCACAGAGCACUGCUCUAGAGCAGCUUUCUGUUCGAGCCAGCCCUUUGCACUGGGGAGAUGCCCACUGGCACAGCAGUUGCAGUGGCUCCCCAGGAGCUCCCUGCCCUGGAGCAGUCCAAGUUCAGCAUGCAGAUGGGAAGUCAGAACCCCGGGCAGCAAAAUCACUCCAACACGGUGCCUUGCAACAUCUUUACCGUCCUGCUGUUGCGCAGCACAGUCUGCUGAGACCCUGGCAAACCGCAGCCACCUCCGUGCCAAGCAAACCAAUGCACUGCAGCCAUGUCAGUGGGGACAAACCACACGCUCUGCUUCCAGCUGGUACAAGCCAAGCUGAUGGGCACGCAAGAAUGCCACGGGGAUUCUGGUCUCAAAGCCUACAGAACUGGCUAAGGGAUAAAACGCGCUUUGACCUAUUGUGCCUGAAAAAGGCUGAGACCACAUCAUCUGACAGACUCACGAAGUUACAACUCGUCCACAGUGGGGCCAAAGAUGCCUUCUCUGCCCGGGUCACCUCAACUCCAUCGAAGAGGAGGGAGCGAGUAGAAUAAAACCGCUCAGCCCGGUGGCAAUCCCCGUUGGAUGGGGAUGCGUGAGCUGAUGCCCGGCGCGGUGGCAGGCAUGCAGCGCUGAGGGCAGAGCUGCUCUGCCUCGCCUUCCUGAGAUGCCCGAGGAGACAGGGUGCACGCAGCCCCUGCGGGUGCUGAUCCCAUCUUCCUUCCCCUCUCCCGAAGCAGUUUGCCCUCCCUCACCCUCUCGCAGCCGGGACACCCCUGCCUCUCAGGAGCCCCUCUCUGCUCCCAGCUGCCACAGCAGCCUCUCCUGAAGGGAGAGCCGGGUCCUUCCCUGCGGGGCCGGGGGCAGCAGCCGUCGGGGCCGCCUUACCUGCGUGGGGACAGAGGCAGCCGGAGAGCAGCGAGCGCAGCAUCGGGCCGGCGGCGGGGCGGGCAGGGCCGUGCUGCCCGCAGCGGGCCGGGCACCGCCCGGGCGGCCCCGGCCGGGAGGGAGGAGCGGGGCCGG